UACGUAGGGUGCAAGCGUUGUCCGGAAUUAUCGGGCGUAAAGAGCUCGUAGGCGGUCUGUCGCGUCGGCUGUGAAAUCCCGAGGCUCAACCUCGGGUCUGCAGUCGAUACGGGCAAACUAGAGUAUUGCAGGGGAGACUGGAAUUCCUGGUGUAGCGGUGAAAUGCGCAGAUAUCAGGAGGAACACCGGUGGCGAAGGCGGGUCUCUGGGCCGUAACUGACGCUGAGGAGCGAAAGCGUGGGGAGCGAACAGG
rnacentral:rRNA from 1 species